UAUUAAGUGGCCGAAUACAAGCACUAGAUUUUUAAUCUAGAUUAUGAUUAGUUCCUAAUCCUUAGUAG
rnacentral:tRNA from 1 species